AUCCAGAUGACGAGUCUCAAACAGGACGAAAUUCUGGAU
rnacentral:hammerhead_ribozyme from 1 species